AGUUUUGAGCUAAUUAUAAUUUAAUAUUAGUUAUUUAUAUAAAGGUGUUGUAAAACCUUAUACAAAAUUAUACUUAGGGGUGAUAGGCCUUUCAAAAGCUAUGAUAUCUUGAUUCUAAUUAAAAGUAUGUAGUACAAUAAAUACAACUAGGAAGUGAUUAGGCUUUAUAGAAAUAUAAAUUUAUAAUAAAUUACUUACUACAAUUUAAUAAUUAAGUAUAUAUGUGUAUUAAUAUUAAUAUAUUAUAAUUUAUAUGGAAGAAUUAGAUAAAAUAAAGUUUAUAUUUUUUGUAAUAAUGUUUAUAUUAGUAUAAAAAAAUUAAAUUUAUAUGAUGAACUCGGCAAUAAUGCUUUCUCAACUGUUUAUCAAAAACAUAACUAUGUGAAUUAAAUACAUAGCGGUUUCUGCUCAA
rnacentral:rRNA from 1 species